UACGUAGGGGGCGAGCGUUGUCCGGAAUCAUUGGGCGUAAAGCGCGUGUAGGCGGUUCGGUAAGUCUGCUGUGAAAGUCCAGGGCUCAACCCUGGGAUGCCGGUGGAUACUGCUGAACUAGAGUGCGGAAGAGGCGAGUGGAAUUCCCGGUGUAGCGGUGAAAUGCGCAGAUAUCAGGAGGAACACCAAUGGCGAAGGCAGCUCACUGGGACGGUAUUGACGCUGAGACGCGAAAGCGUGGGGAGCAAACAGG
rnacentral:rRNA from 1 species